rnacentral:rRNA from 1 species
CAAAGGCAUGGUCCUGACCUUAUUAUCAGCUCUUACCCGACUUACACAUGCAAGUCUCCGCAAUCCCGUGAGUAUGCCCUCAAUCCCCUGCCCGGGGACGAGGAGUGGGCAUCAGGCACAAAUUUUAGCCCAAGACGCCUGGCCAAGCCACACCCCCAAGGGAAUUCAGCAGUGAUAAACAUUAAGCCAUAAGUGAAAACUUGACUCAGUCAAGGUAAAGAGGGCCGGUAAAACUCGUGCCAGCCACCGCGGUUAAACGAGAGGCCCUAGUUGAUAAAACCACGGCGUAAAGGGUGGUUAAGGAAAGCAAAACAAAUUAAAGCCAAAUGGCCCUUUGGCCGUCAUACGCUUCUAGGUGUCCGAAGCCCAAUUAUACGAAAGUAGCUUUAUAAAGCCCACC